rnacentral:lncRNA from 1 species
AGAGAAAUUCUUAAUGCAUGACCUUGUCAAUGACUUAGCCCAAAUUGCAUCUUCAAAACUUUGUAUCAGGUUGGAAGAGAGCCAAGGAUCUCAUAUGUUGGAAAAAAGUCGGCACUUAUCUUAUUCAAUGGGAAAAGGUGGUGAGUUUGAGAAAUUAACACCCCUCUACAAAUUGGAGCAGCUGAGGACAUUGCUUCCGAUAUUUUUUGAUGUCAAUCAUGACUCUCUAAGCAAGAGGGUGCAGCAUAACAUACUGCCAAGACUAAGAUCCUUAAGGGCAUUAUCAUUGUCUCAUUACAGGAUUAAGGAGUUGCCGGAUGACUUGUUUAUCAAAUUAAAGCUCCUGAGAUUUUUGGAUAUUUCUAAGACAGAGAUUAAUAAGUUGCCAGAUUCCAUUUGUGGAUUGUAUAAUUUAAAGACACUUCUCCUGUCAUCUUGUGAUUAUCUUGAGGAGCUACCACUGCAGAUGGAGAAGUUGAUCAACUUGAGUCAUCUUGACAUAAGCAACACUUCUCGCUUGAAGAUGACACUACAUCUGAGCAAGUUGAAAAGCCUCCAAGUGCUAGUGGGAGCCAAGUUUCUUCUAGAUGGUUGCUCACACCAUUACUAGAAUUUGACGAGGGAGAAUACUGGCCAAAUAUUGCUCAAAUUCCCACCAUUGUGAUUGAUCGGGAGUUCCUAUGAUGAUUAAAACAAAUGGCUCUCCAACUGAUGUAAGUUAUUCUUUUCCUUUUUUAAAAAUCUUGUUGAGCAGUCUAUUGCUCAAACCACGGCUACUGACCAAAAAUUGUUCAUAUUUUUUUUUUCUAUUUAGAAACGGGAGUUUGGAAGGAUUCACAAUGGCAAGCCUGAUUCCUGAAGUUUUCUAGGUGAGCAUGGUUGUCUCCUUUUCAAGUUAACAACUUAUUUAUAUUAAUUUUGCUGCUAUUGAUUGUCAGUUGCAAGUUUCGCAAUUCAAUUUAUGUGUUACUACAUCUGGGAACGUGCGUUGCACGUUUAUCCCAAAAUACUUUAUAUAAAUUUUGUAUUGCAAAUAACAUAUUCUAUCCCCUCUAAAUCUAUAGUAUUUACUAAAAAAAAAUUCAUCACAUAUAUCUUUAUAAAUAUAUAUAUAUAUAUAUGAUUAUUAAAUUGACUAAAAGUGUAUAGAGUAAAAAUAACUUCCAAGUAAUAGUCAUCAGUUAGAUGAGAUAAUAGAUGUAGAUAGAGAUAUAGAAAUAUUCAAGCAAAAUAAAUUAAAAUUAUUAAAUCCACAAGUUCUAUAUAAUACAGGACUAUUUUCGUCAAUAGCACACUUAUACAGACAUUAUAGAGAAGAACAAUUGAGUGUAUCAGAAAACGAUAGUGAAAGUAUAAAUUUAAUUAGUAAAUAAUCUAUGCAAGAAAUACAAAAAAGACGAAUGAAUCUCAUGCAUAUGAGAUUGGUAGUAAUCGGACUUAAAGGUUUAACUAGAAAAAAUUUAGGUACUAAAGUAUUAAUCACUUUAUAUGAUAGUAGAUGGUCAGAAUCUAAAAGAUCCAUAAUAGGUUUAACAGAAGUCGACAUGAGUAAUAAUGGAGGAAUUUUUUACUGUAGUCCAGAUUUCAUGAUAAAUUCAAAAGAAUUUGGAAAAUACAUAAAAAUAGGCAUACAAACCAAGGGUUACGAAGAAAUGAACUGUGGAAACAAUCUAUUAGUUUGUGUUGGCUUCAUAGGAAAAUUAGCAACCAACAGUAGUUCAAGGUUUAAAAUAAAAAUAGACAAUGCGGUAGGCAUAAUGGGAAAUAAAGGAAUAAAAUUAAUGAAACUUUUAAAAAUAAAUUCAGAAGAAUAUGCAGGUAGAGAAUGGAAUUUAGAAAAAUUCUAUAAAAAAGAAGUGUUAAGACCAAAUGACCACCUCACAUACACAAAUAAUAAAGGUGAGACAUCAAUCAGAUUCACUGAUUAUAAAUAUACAAAUCAAAAGAAAUAGAUGAAGAUUUAGAAGAUAAUGAAUCAACCAUAAAUAUGGAAGGAAUGAAUGUUCAGAUCAAUAAAGAAGAAGACUAUGAAGUAGAUAUAUCAAUAGCAAAAGCUAAAGAAAUACACAAGUCAAAUAAAGAAAAUUUAUUUAAAUGUAAAGGAUGUAAACUAGGAAAACUAAAAUUUUCUAUAGUAGAAAAACACUUCAAAGAGUGUAAUUUUAGAACAGACAAUUAUGGAUUUCGCCAGAAAGAAAAAACACAGGAAGAAAGUGAUGAUGAAACAACACGUAGUUUAAAAGAAUUAGAUGAAAGCGAUGAUGAAACAACACGCAGUUUAAAAGAAUUUAUGGAAACCGCUUCUUCAAGCUCAAGUCCCUUCCAAAAGACAACCCCAAUACCACCAAUAGAAUAUACUAUAGGUAAUUUACCACAACACCGUGUAUUUAGACAAGACCCGAUGACAGAACCAGAAAUGGUUAGACCUAUAGGAAUAAUAAUGCCAAUAGAAGCCCCCAUCAAACUCCAAGACAGGGGAGAUAGAUGAAAAAUACUAAAUAUAUCGGCUCAUGACCCUCAAUUAUGGAACUCAGUACUAGAUGUAUGGAAAGGAGUAGUAGUAGCAGACAACAUACACCAUUAUAGUGAAACAGAUGCAGAAACUAUGUAUAGAUACAUGGAAACCUUUCUAGGAGAAUCAAUCAAAGGAGUAUGGGAAGAAUAUAAGGUAGCUUACCCUCAAGAAUUCCAAGAACUAGUAAAUAUAGGACCAAACUCGUAUAAUUUUACUAAUAAAAUACACAGCCUGAUAACAGGAGAAGACCCAAAUAGCGGAUUAGUAGUGUUACAAAAGAAUGCACUAAUAAAAUUAGAACAACUUAGCAAAACAAAUUGGAGUCAUAUAAAGAAUUUUUUAAAAGACUAUUUUUACUAUUGCGCUAUAAGCGGUAAUGCGUUUGACCAAAGCUUGGGGAAAAAACUUUUUAACAAACUCCCUGGAGCCUUAGGAAGAGAAAUAGAGGAAAGAUGGAACAAAAGAGAGGGAGUAAUGACAAAACCCAAAUGCCAACUGGUCUAUAGGACAUAAAAUACAACAUGUCAUGGAAAUAUUACAAGAGAAAUGUACAAAUAUACAAAUACAAAAAUAAUUAAAACAAAAUGAGACUAGUUUUUGUAAGAAUAUAUAUACAACACAAAGCUAUGAUCAAAGUACACCAAAAAGAAAAUACAGAAAGACAUAUCAAAAUAACCAAGACUACAAACCUAGGAAAAGGUAUUAUCUAAGAAAAUCUACGGCAAAAAAACCUUACCUAAAUAAAGAUAGACAUGUAAGAAAACAAUAAUAAUAAUAAUAGAAUUUACAAAAAUAAGACUAUCUUGUUUUACUAUGUGGAAGUGAAGAACAUCUAGCUAAUACUUGUCCAGGUAGAAAUAAUAGUAGAACAAGAAAUGCCCAACUUAUAGAAGACUUCCAAGAAACCCUGAUAAAUGUAGAUGAAUACAAGUCAGAUAAUGAGAGCAUAUAUUUAGUAAUAAGCAUAGAUGCUAUAGAAGGAAGACAACAAGAUUCGUCUGAUUCAGAAGAAGAAACUUUAAUAAACGAGAUAGGAUUAGAAAAAUUAGACUUAAACAUGAAAGAUUUUACCUUUGUUAAUAUACAAUGCGAUCACCAAUUCUCCAAAGCAAAAGGGUUAGAUAGUCAAAAAUGCUUUAAUUGCACAUGAUACCCCAGUAAAGACAGAAGAGCUAAAUGUAUGAACUGCUAUGUAGAGGGAUGCCUUAUGUGCAUCGACAUGAUAUUUAACAUAAAAGUUAUAGACCAAACAAGAAGUACAAAAGAAAAAACAUUAAUAUCUUUAGAAAAAAGGAUUGAUAAUUUAGAGGACAGAAUAAGUAAAUUAGAAAAGGGAAAAGAAAAAUUAGAAGAGGGAACCAACCAAAACACAACGCCAAAAGAGGAAAUCGAGCUCUUAAAUGAAAAGGAGGACUAUAAAUCAUUUGAGGGAUUAAUUUGUAAUGAAGACAAGAAAAUUAAUACUAUCAAAAUAUUAACAAGAAUAAGAAUUCAAGACUACGAAAUAGAAACUUUAGCUCUAGUAGACUCUGGAUGUAAAAGUAUAAUAGAUAGAAGUAUCCUGCCUCUAGAUAUAAUAAAAUAAUUUCCAGAGCCACAAAGCGCCAUGCAAAUGGAUGGAUCUUCAAAUGUAUAUAAACAUUAUGUUAGUAAUGCUCAAAUAAGUUUUUUAAAUACAUGUGAAAACUUUUAUAAACACAUGUAUAGAUUAGAAAAAAUAUGGGUUAGAGACUUAAAUAUUAUAGUAGACUUUGUUUUAGGUUUAGACUUCUUAUUACAUAACAACGGAUGUUGUCGCCUUACUAGAGACGGAGUAAUAUUCUCUAAAAAUAUGACUCAUACCUCAAUAACAACAGAAUCGUUUCCAACGAAAUCUAGGUAUCUUAAAAAUACUGAUAAACUUAAUACAAACACUUCAAAAUGUAAUAAAGGAGAAGAAUGUAAUUAUACUAAGAUACAUGUUAUUGAAGAAGAAAUUGAAUUAUUAGAGCUAAGUUUAUCUGAUAUACAACUAGAGAAAAGUUAUAACUUAAUAGAAAUAAAUACAGAAUUUUAUAAUUUCAAAAAAGGAUUACAACAUAUAGGAGUCAUAAAAAAUCAAAAAGACCUAGAGGAGGUAAUUUCCAUCUUAGAUAAAUUAGAGAUAAUUGGAGAAAGACCUUUAAAGCACUGGGAAGCCAAUCAUAUAACUUGCAGACUGGAUAUCAUUAACCCAGAAUAUACUGUUAAAACUGAUUCAAUAGAAUCCACAAAUGAAGACCUAAAGGAAUUUGAAGAUCAGAUAAAAGAAUUACUAAAUUAGGGAGUGAUAAGAAGAUCAACUUCAAGACAUAGGUCAUCAACAUUUGUGGUAAGAAAUCAUAAUGAAAUAUUAAGAGGAAAAGCUAGAAUGGUAAUAAACUAUAAAAGACUUAAUGACAAUACCAAAAUGGAUGGAUAUAAGUUGCCAGAAAGAUCAAAAUUAAUAAAUCGAAUGCAAGGAAGAAUUUUUUUUAGUAAGUUUGAUUGUAAAUUCGAAUACUGGCAAGUCAAAAUGUAUGAAGACAGUAUAGAAUAGAAAACUUUCACUUGCCCAGAAGGACAUUUCGAAUGGUUGGUAAUGCCCUUCGAUUUAAAAACAGCUCCUCCGAUCUUUCAGAGAAAGAUGGACAAUAUAUUUAGAGAUUAUAAAAAUUUUAUUUUAGUAUAUGUAGACGAUAUCUUAGUAUUUAGUAAUAAUGCCAACAAACAUCUAAGACAUUUACAAACGGUGUUUAAAUUAUUUGUAGACAAUGGAAUUAUAAUUAGCAAAAAGAAAAUGGAAUUAUGUAAAAAACUAACAGUGGUUUCUCCUCCAACAGUCAAGUAACUAGCACUGGUUAUUCCAGCAAGAGCUCUUACUCUAACAGAACUAGUACCGUCAACUCCAAUUGUAGCAGCAGGAAUGUCUUCACCACCAGAUAAAUCUUAUAAAAUUCCUAGGGGUAGAAAUUGGAAAUGGAAAGAUAAAAUUACAACCCCAUAUAGCAAAAAAGGUUCUCGACAUGCUUGAUAAAUUAGAUAAUACUAAAGACUUACAAAAAUUUCUAGGAAUAUUAAAUUAUGCACGAAGUUUUAUAAAAGACCUAGGAAAAGUAACAGGACCCUUAUAUUCUAAAACAGGAAUUCAUAGGCAGAAGACAUUCAAUAUGGAAGACAUAAAAUUAGUACAAAAGCUUAAACAAAUGGUUAAAAAUAUACCAGAUCUAGCCCUCCCACUAAAAACUGACUGCCCAAUAGUGGAAACCGACAAAAGUCUAGAAGGAUGGGGAGCAGAAUUAAAAACAAAGAACAAUAAAUAUAUAGAAAAGAAAGACGAAAAAAUUUACGCCUAUCACAGUGAAAAAUACAAGGAAAAAGGAAACAUGAGUAGCAUAGAUGCAGAAAUUCUAGUAGUCAUAUAUGGACUAAAUAGCUUUAAAUUAUUUAUUAUUAAUAAAAAAGAAAUUUUAGUAAGAACUGACUGCAAAGCUUUUGUAAAAUUCCACCAGAAAAUAGAAGGAAAAAAUAGUAGUAAGAGAAGAUGGCUAAAUUUUUUAGACGCUACAUCAAUAUACAAUAUAUUUUUAGAAUAUAUAAACGGAAAAGAUAAUUCCUUAGCAGAUCAACUAAGCAGACUCAUGAAAACUAAUUAUUUAUUUUCAGAAUGAGUACAUGUAAGAACAAAGACAAGGCAUCCAGUUCAAGUUCAAGUAAUAGUGGGCAAAAAGACAAAGAUAUAUACUUAUAGACAUUAUUGGGAAACACUUCGUUUAGACCACAUACAAGAGAAGAAGAUGCAAGGAUAAAUACUCCUAUAGAAAGACUAUACUUUGGAAGACAAAAUUUAAUAUUUUAUCCUCCAUCUAAUUUAAGUUUCAGAGUAAAGCCAGAAACAAAAAUAGAUAAACAUCAAAGAUGUUUGAUAGACAAUCUAUGGAUAGCAUAUAACAAAAUUUUGAAAGACAAUAGCUAUUUUAUUUCAGUAUUAAACUCAGUAAGUUAUUAUUUUACGGAGAAAAAUGAAGACAAAAAGUUUAAAUUCUACGUAGUAGUUCGAGGAAAGCUAGCAGGCAUCUUCCAGACUUGGAUCGAGGUGAUAGACUCAAUUAAAGACUUUCCUACCCCAUUUUUCAAAGGAUUCAACGAUUUAAAUAAAGCACUAGACUAUGCUAGAGGAACUCUUGGGCCAAAUUAUUUCAUAAGCCCAGCUUUAAGACAAACUUCAAGACCUUUCCUGCAAUACAAUAUUCGAAAGGAUACUGACAAGAUAAUCUUCUGCGAUCAUUGUUCUUCAAUGACUGAAGGAUUCAAAAUACUAAACCAGACAAUUGAGAAACUAGAGACUGAGAAAGGGGAACUGACACAACAUAUCCACUCAUUACAAGAAAAAAUAAGGUUCUUCCUUGGAAAUACUAAUCAAACCAUACCAUUACAAAUACAAGACUACUCAAAAGGACCAAAGAGUUCUCCAUCUCAUCUUAAAAUGGAUAAGACGGGUGUUCAUCCUCCAACGAAUGUAGAAAGAGCUAUUGUAUCAGCUAAAUGUACAACUAGUCCCGUUCAAAUGGUAGCGGGUAAAGAUUCAUCAAAUCCGUUGAUGGCUGACACUUUGCCAAAAAGUGUUAAAAACAAAUUUGAAAAUAUUUGUUAAAAACAAACUUAAUUUUUUUGAAAUUGGGGGGUGGGGGGUCGCGGGUAGGGAGUGGNNNNNNNNNNNNNNNNNNNNNNNNNNNNNNNNNNNNNNNNNNNNNNNNNNNNNNNNNNNNNNNNGGGGAGGGGGUCGAGGGUAGGGGUGGGGUGGGAUGAAAAAUAAAAAAUUUAAAUUGGAAAUAUUUUUUUAAAAAAAAUUAUUUUUUUUGUGGGGGGGAGGGGUAGGGGGUGAGGUAAAAAAAUUUAAAAUUGAAGGCUUUAAAUUUAUUUUUUUCAACAAAAAAAUAAUAAUUGUAAUUUGAAGUUGGAGAGAGUUUUGGAAAACGUUUUUCUUAAUUUUUUGAAAGUAAGUCAUUUUCCUUAAAUUUGAGAAAAAUGAGUUAAUUUGAAAAUCAUUCUCCAAAACGUUUUACCCAACCAAAUAUGAUAAAAUUGAAAUACAUUUUCCGAAAAUGUUUUCCUUCAUACCAAACACACCCAAUAUGAUGAAUCAAUGAUGGAUUAUGGUGAAAUUUACUUUUUUCAUAGAAAAAUAUCAAAGAAUUAUACUAUUCAUGUUUGAUAAAAUAUCCUUCAAUAAGACCUGGUGAAUAUCAUAUGUCUCUGUUUCGAUGCAUCUUAUAAAUCCUAUUGAAAUUCUGUGAGGUUGCUCGUGUCCUUUGGUUGGUGGGCUUAAUUUUUUGAACUGUGAAUGCAUCUUAACAUAAUUUUGAUUUUUGAUGGGUUCUCCAAAUCUAACAAUUUUAUUUGGGAUCCCUUUUUUUAGGGGGAAAGUCUCAAAUGGGAAAUAAAGUUGGCACUUUGAAGAUUUUGAAGCUAGAAUUUGUGAGCUCUCUCUUUGUCUACACAAAUUUCAAACGGCCUGUUAUAGCUUCAAGGUAAUCGUCUUCGGAAAUUUGAAUUCUUUUGGUUCUUAUUUUAAUCUUGCACAAAAGUGUAACAUUUACCCUUUGUUUGGAUCAUUGUUACCCAUUAUAUUGUAUCGUUACUAUACCUACAAUGUUUGUUUUGAUUAUUACUUAAAAUAUAUUGUAUUGUAUUGUUAAAUUUCGUUGUUACGUAACAAUGAAAACCUCUAUUUUAUGGAACAACCAAUUUGGUGUGUUCCCAAUUGUUACUUAAUUUCUUUUUCCAAUUAUAUCUUUUACAUAAUAUUUCAAAAUACUAUUUUAUCCUUUACCUUAUAUUAUUUAAUUCUAAUCAAACCUCCUACUCUACAUAUAUACAAAUGGCUUACAUAUACCAUUUUCCUCUAACAGAGAUGAAAAAAAUUAAUUUUAGUUUAAUUUUUUUUAAAAAAAAAAAAACUAUAAUCCCAUAUGAGUAUAUUUAAUCCUCCUCAAACAUAUAUUUUUUUUGUUUCAAUGACUAAUUUAAAUUUAUUAUUUUAAUGGUCAAAUUUAUUUAUGUUUCACUAAUAUUCUUGUAAAACUUAUUAUUGUUUACAUCUCCGCUUUAUUCAAAUAGGGCGAAACGUCCUGAUGACUCAAAAAAUAAACAAUUGAUUCAAUUUUAAAUUUUUUUUAAGAAAAUAAGAAUUUUAAAGGAGUCACCACCUAAUUUUAGGAAACCAAUUAAAUGAUCUACGAAACCAAGAAAUUUUAGGUAAGGGGUUCAAGUUAAUUCGAAGGAAAAGUGUUAGGCAUCAUUCGAAAUUCACAAUUGUGAGUUCCGACCGAAUUCAUUUUUUCAAAUUGAGGAGGAAGUAAAAAUAGUAUACAAAUAUAACAAACAUACAAUAUACACAAGUAAUAUGAGAAACGACCUAAUAUUUGCCUAUCAUCAAUAAUAUACAUAAUAAUGAUUAUAAUAUUCGAACUUUAUUCGAAUGGCUUCGAUGAGAAACGACUUCGGGGUACCUAUAAAGACACUUAAUAAAAGUGUUAAUACUAAAUAUAUAUGAAUAAAAAUAAAUAAAGCAAAUAAUAACUUAAAAAUAAAAACUCAUCUUAUUAACAUAGGAGGCCUUAGAAAUAGACUGUAAUUUCUUCAUCGGCCAAUUUUAACAAAUAAAAUAUACAAACUUAAAUUAAAUUUUCGUCUUUUGCAAUGUAGAGGCCUCCAAAACCGACGGAAAUUUUUUUUCAUUAGGCAAAUUAUAGCAUUUACUUAACAUGAAUUAAGGAAAUAAUCCUAUAGUAAAAUUGACAAAACCCUUCGGGGUGGCCCAGUGGUUUGGGCUUGGGACUUCCAUGUUGGAGGUCUCAAGUUCGAAACCCCUUGCCAGCGAAAGCAAGGGUUUGCCCUCUGGGUCGAGCUCAUCGCACCGGGCUUGCCUAGUGCGGGUUACCUCUCCUAUGUGGUUUGCGAGCUAUUGCAUAAGAGCGGGGGUUUUACCCUGUGCGCAUCCAAAGGGUAGCAGCUGCGGGUUUCCCUUGUCAUCAAAAAAAAUAAAAUUGACAAACAUUAUAUUUAAACUAGCUCAAAAAGAAUAACAAAUUAAUAACGGACAAUGCACAGAUAAUGAUAAAAUAAUUUCGACACUUUUCUAAAAAAAACAACUACUAGUGCUAACAACAUCAAAGAAAUAAAUAAAUUAAGAAGAAUAAUGGAAGUAAAAUCUGUAAUCUAAACAAAAAUAAAAAUAAAAAAUGAAACCGAACACCACAAUCACAAUAGUAUCUAAAUGAAGUAUAAUCUGUAACCGAUUAAAAUAAUAAUAACAAUAAUAAACAAAAGAGGAAACAAAGGCAUAAUAAUAACAAUAAAAUAAAUCCACAACUUAGAGAAAAUUACAAUACUCAACCUUCUUUAAUUAAUAAUUAGAAAUUACCAUUAUGUGCCACUUUAUACGAAUUGAGAGAAUUAACCACAAAUAAAUAGACUAAUCAAGAAUAGCUAACUAUAGUAUCCAAAAUAAACUAAACAAAAAUAAUGGAUUCGAAAGCACAUUCAUAAACUGUAAACGUAAACAAUAAUAAAAAGAAAUCAAGGAAUAACAGAUACAAAAAUUACCGAUCCCGGUCUGGUUCCUGGCGACUUCGUUGUUUUGAGCUACUAUUCGCCGGAGUUGUUUUGCCAGAGUUCGGAAUGUUGGUUGUUGUUAUUGUUACCUCCUGGAGGAGCUCGUGGGUGGAGCUGGUGUGGUCAGCCUCUGGUUUCGAUGAGUUGGAGCUUGGAGCUCACUGGCUGUUGUUCGCCUGGGCUUCGUGGGUUUUGAGCUACUUCUUGCUGGGGUUGCUGGUUCAACGAGCAAAGGGGAGAACGAGGAUGGGGUUUUGGGUUGGUUUCGCCGGAAAAAGGGUGAAGAGAGUUGGGGUCUUAGUGGUGGUUUUGGUGGUGAUUUUGGCUGAAGGGUGGUGGCGUUUGGGUGGGUUGGAGAGCUGCUGGUUGCAGCAGAGAAAACAGGAGGGGUUUUGGGUCUGUUUGGUUGGCUGAUUUUGUGGAUUUGGGGUCUAUUUGGAUCGUGGUUUUGCCGGAAAAAGAGGUGAACGGAGAUGGUUUGUUGGGUUGGAGUUUCUCGGAGGUUGUUUGGUUGUUGUUAAUGGUUGUUUUCGGUGGCUUUUGGUCUUUGGUGGUGGCUGGAUUGUUGCUGGAAACGAAAAGGGGGGUGAGCACUGGCUCGCCGGAAAUGGAGUUUGAGUGGUGAUGAGGAAGGAGGGUGGCGGCAGCUUUGACAAGAUGAUAGAAAAAUCGUUUUUGGUUUCAGUCAUUUUGAAAUUUUUCACCACUUGGACUAAAAAUAUUGUUCAUCCUCUUCACUUAAUGAAUAAGCUAUUGUUUAUAUAGAAAAUUGAAAAUUAUCUAUAGUAUAAUACGAUUAUCUUAAAAUCAUGGGCUGAAACCAUUAGUUAAAUAAAAUAUUUGUAUAUAAAUCUUAUUUAUAUUUGAAUCAAUUUUUAGACAGUGCAAAAUAUCAAAAUUAAUAUUAGCAAAUGUAACAAAUAAAAAUGAAUAUUAUUAAAAAAAAGGAAAGUAAUGAACGUAACAAAUGACAUGUAUAAAGUGCAAUUUAAUAGAAAUAACUAUUUAAUCAAGAUGAACAAAUAUUUGAACGUAUUUAACCAGCUAUGACAAAAAAUAAUGAAAUUAAAAUUAACUGAUAAAAAAUCCUAAAUUUUGACAAAUAAAAAUAAUUAUCGAUAAACUUAUUUAAAAUUAUAAAAAAUGUAUUUUGAACAAUUAAAUAAAUAAAACUUAAAAGUUACGAAUUUUGAAAAUGUUAGGUCAAAAUUGGGUGUCAACAAUUAUAGAUGACCUUUUUUUUUUCUUCAAAUACAAAAAUUAAAUUACAAUAUAGACAAAAAAAAAAUUGUUUUAAAUUAUAAUAUAGCUGCAAAAAAAUAGUUUUAAUUUUUUUUUCUUUACACCAAGGAAUGAAAGAAAAAAUAAAAUAAGAAUAAGAAACUAAAAUAAUGAAAAUCAAAGAAGUCAAAAAAUAAUUUAUGUAUGAAAAAAAUUGAAAUAUACCUUGAACUUUGCAGAAGAAUCUUAUAUAUCCCUAAAUGAUUUUUAAAACAAUUAAAAGUCAAAAAUAUAAAUUUAAAAUUAAUUUUUUCACUUCCGUUAAAUGAAGAUAUAUGUGAGCUCAUUUUGUAACGAUAGGGUAUAUGUGAGCCGUUUAUAUAACAACAAAGGUAUAUAUGAGUCACUUUCAUAACGAGGACAUAUCAACUCUAAAUAAAAAAAUUGACAGGUAUAUCAGACCCUUUUCCCUAGAAAAAAUAAUACCUUAGAGAAAAGGAAAAUGGAACAGAAUCCAAUUCUUCACAAUUCUAAAACGUAUUCAUGAUAUGCUAGGCCAAACUAAGCACUACAAUGAGCUGUUGAAAAAUGGACAAGUGCACAAAGCAAAAAGUAACGAAUAGACAUAAAGCAAAAGAUACCUUCCUCAAUUAUUCAAUUAGUGGAGUCAUACUUUUUGAAAAGAGAAACGAGGACAGUUUUGCUUCUUGUAGAUUAGCUGAAACAUAGUUGUACUAAUUUCAAGCAAUCACUGAUCAUUCUUGUUUGCAAAUUACUCUCAACAUUCAACAGGUAAAGUAAGUUCUAUCUUAGUAGUUGAAGAUAGAAAAAUUUAUCUUCUCAUCAAAAUCAUUUUGUGUUUCCUUGUUUUGAUUUGCAGAUUUCAGAAAUGGAGGUUGGCUUAGCAGUUGGUGGUGCAUUUCUUCUCUUCAGCUUUGAAUGUUCUCUUUGAUAGGCUUGCUCCUCAGGGUGAUCUUCUCAACAUGUUUCACAAGCAUAAGCAUCAUGUUCGGCUCUUCAAGAAGCUGAAAAUGACUUUACUUGGUCUUCAAGCUGUUCUAAGUGAUGCAGAGAAUAAGCAGGCAUCAAAUCAAUUUGUGAGCCAGUGGCUUGAUGAGCUUCGAGAUGCUGUGGACAUUGCUGAAAACUUAAUUGAACAAGUCAAUUAUGAAGUUUUGAGGCUUAAGGUUGAAGGUCAGCAUCAGAAUCUUGCAGAAGCAAGCAAUCAGCAAGUAAGUGACCUUGACCUGUGCUUAAGUGAUGAUUUUUUUCUUAACAUAAAGGAGAAGUUGGAAGACACCAUGGAAACAUUGGAGGAUUUGGAAAAGCAAAUUGGCCGCCUUGGCUUAAACGAGCAUUUUGGUUCGACUAAACAAGAAACUAGAACACCUUCAACUUCUUUGGUUAAUGAAUCUGAUAUCUUUGGUAGGCAGAGCGAAACAGAGGAUUUGAUUGACCGUUUAUUGUCUGAAGAUGCAAGUGGAAAAAAUCUGACUGUAGUUUCUAUUGUUGGAAUGGGUGGCGUGGGUAAGACAACACUUGCUAAAGCGGUUUACAAUGAUGAGAGGGUGAAGAACCAUUUUUGUUUGAAAGCUUGGUAUUGUGUUUCUGAGGCAUAUGAUGCUUUCAGAAUAACAAAAGGGUUACUUCAAGAAAUUGGCUCAUUUGACUUAAAGGAUGACAACAAUCUUAAUCAGCUACAAGUCAAAUUGAAGGAAAGCUUAAAGGGAAAGAAGUUUCUUAUUGUAUUGGAUGAUGUGUGGAAUGAAAACUACAAUGAGUGGGAUGACUUGAGAAAUAUUUUUGUACACGGAGAUAUAGGAAGUAUGAUAAUUGUAACGACACGUAAAGAGCGUGUUGCCUUGAUGAUGGGUAGUGGGGCAAUCAACGUGGGGACUCUGUCUGAUGAAGUCUCUUGGGAACUAUUCAAACGACAUUCACUAGAAAACAGGGAUCCUGAGGAACAUCCAGAACUUGUAGAGGUUGGAAAACAAAUUGCACACAAGUGCAAAGGAUUGCCUUUAGCUCUAAAGGUACUUGCUGGUAUUUUACGCUGCAAAUCAGAGGUGGAUGAGUGGAGAGACAUUUUUGAGAAGUGAAAUAUGGGAGCUUCCAAGUUGUUCGAAUGGUAUAUUACCAGCGCUAAUGUUGAGCUACAAUGAUCUUCCUGCACAUUUGAAGCAAUGUUUUGCUUAUUGUGCAAUAUAUCCUAAAGAUUAUGAAUUUUGCAAAGACCAAGUUAUUCACUUGUGGAUUGCUAAUGGUCUUGUACAUCAGUUGCAUUAUGGUAACCAAUACUUUCUCGAGUUGAGAUCAAGAUCACUGUUCGAAAGGGUCCCAAAGUCUGCAUGGAAACUGGAAGUAUUCUUAAUGCAUGACCUUGUCAAUGAUUUGGCCCAAAUUGCAUCUUCAAAUCUUUGUAUAAGGUUGGAAGAGAACAAAGGAUCGCAUAUGUUGGAACAAUGUCGGCACAUGUCCUAUUCAAUAGGAGAAGGUGGUGAGUUUGAGAAAUUGAAAUCACUCUUUAAAUCAGAGCAGCUGAGGACAUUACUUCCAAUCAAUAUGCCUUUCUAUUGCCAAAAUAAGCUAAGCAAGAGGGUGCUGCAUAACAUUUUGCCAAGACUAACAUCCUUAAGGGCAUUAUCGUUGUUACGCUAUGAAAUUGUUGAGUUGCCAAAUGACUUAUUUAUCGAAUUAAAGCUCCUGAGAUUUUUGGAUAUUUCUCGGACAAAGAUUAAAAGGUUGCCAGAUUCCAUUUGUGUGUUGUAUAACUUAGAGACACUUCUCCUUUCAUCUUGUGAUUAUCUUGAG